rnacentral:miRNA from 1 species
AGAGCUUAGCUAAUUGGUGAGCA